CCUACGGGUGGCAGCAGUGGGGAAUAUUGCACAAUGGGGGAAACCCUGAUGCAGCGACGCCGCGUGAGUGAAGAAGUAUUUCGUUAUGUAAAGCUCUAUCAGCAGGGAAGAAAAUGACGGUACCUGAGUAAUAAGCCCCGGCUAACUACGUGCCAGCAGCCGCGGUAAUACGUAGGGGGCAAGCGUUAUCCGGAUUCACUGGGCGUAAAGGGAGCGUAGGCGGGAGUGCAAGUCAGGAGUGAAAGGCGGGGGCUCAACCCCCGGACUGCACUGGAAACUGUACGGCUGGAGUGCAGGAGAGGUAGGUGGAAUUCCUGGUGUAGCGGUGAAAUGCGUAGAGAUUAGGAGGAACACUAGUGGCGAAGGCGGCUUACUAGACUGUAACUGACGUUGAGGCUCGAAAGCGUGGGGAGCAAACAGGAUUAGAUACCCUUGUAGUC
rnacentral:rRNA from 1 species